GUGUUUAUUAUAAACACAGCACAUAUACUAAAAUUGGAACAAUACAAAGAAGAUUAGCAUGGCCCCUGCACAUAGUCCCAGAAGUUAGAAAUUACUAUUAUUUUA